UCCAUCAAGCUGAGCAUGUUUAACGGGAGGAUGCGAAUAUUGACAAAUGUGCAUCAUGUCCCAGAUCUCAGAAGGAGCAUAGUAUCACUUAGGAACUUAGAUGAAAAGGGCUGCACUUUCAGAAGUAAUUCAAGGGUUCUGAAUAUCUCCAAGGAUGAUAAGAUUGUGAUGAGAGAGAGGAGGCUGAGGAGUUGUUUGUACCAAUUGGAGGGAUCUGUUGUGUCUAGGAAGACUGAGGUGAUUGCUUCAGCUACGGAAGAUCAAUCAGAGGUCUAGUCGGUGCAGAUUGGAUAGUUGAUGAUAUGCUUAUCGGAUCUACUAGUUGUAGGGUGGUCGGAUCA
rnacentral:lncRNA from 1 species